rnacentral:snoRNA from 1 species
AACCUCUCAGGGUCACACCUGGAGAGUUUCCAGUAGUCUACCAGUCUCUACUACAGGAGGGAGAGUCAAGCAGAGGCAUAUCCAUUCCAUUCCUAGCUUGGCCAGUGGCUAGCGAGUGGAAGACAAUCUGCUACAAGU